rnacentral:lncRNA from 1 species
UUCUUCUUUCUCCCUUCUCCUUCUCCUCUCCUCUCCUCCGUCCGCAGCGCAGCUCCAGCCCCUCCUGAGAACACUCCAGCCCGUGUGACGCCGCCACCGACGCUCCGGUCACUCCUCUACGCCGUUCGCCACCGUUUGGACAGCAUUUGAGGUAAGCCGGUUUGCAUUUUAUUUUUUUCGAUUUUUUUUUUUUUUUUUUUUGCGAUUUUUGUGUUUUUUUCAAUUUAUUAUUAUUCUUACUGUUAUUAUUGUUAUAUUUGUUAAUAUUGUUAAUGUUAUUGUUAGUAUUUGUUAUUGUUAAUAUUGUUAAUGUUAUUGUUAAUAUUUGUUAAUAUUGUUAAUGAUCAAAUUUGGUUAAUGUUAUAUAGAUUUGUGGCUUGCAGGUGACACUGAAUUUGGUUAAAAGUUUGAGAAAUUUAAUAAAAAAACUUAUCUGGUUAUAGAAAUAGAUACCUAUAUUUAGUGUGAUUGAAACAGAUAAUUAUAUGAACAUAACAUCAGUUAGUGUGAUUGAAAUAGAUAAUUAAUUUGCCUCGUUGAACUUUAUUCACAGCUUGUUUGCUUUUGUAACUAAUUGAAACAGAUAUUUUACUCCAAUAAAAUAGUGAAAAAACAAAGAAAUUCAAAAAGAUAAUAACCAACCUAAUUACUGCGAUUUGCCUGCUAACAAUUUAAACUAACAAUCUAUAUGGUAGCUCAUAAACCACAUUGUAAAGCUUGAAUUGUUUCCUAAACUAUAGUUAUACUCUGCGUCCUUUGACCAAUAAAUUAGUGCAUUUUAUUAUAUUUUUUUUGAAUACAAGUGGUUGUUUAUAUGAAGAAAAAGAAUUUAGUAGAAGUUAGUAUCUUAUCUGGUUAUAGAAGUUAGUAGAAACUCAGAGAAUGGUGGUGAUGGUGAGAAAGAAUAUAGGGUUGGUAGUAAGAAGAAAAAGAGGACUAUGUUGAUAAGUAGAAUACUUGAUAGAACAAUGCCUUUGGUUGCUAAUACUAGUUUCUAGCUAGAGAUUUUCUAUUGCAUAUAUUUAUAUGUCAAGGUUUCUAAUUAAUACAGUUGAAUAUACAUGCAUGUAGUCAUUAAUUAGUUAUUAGGUUGGUGACAUGGAGGUCUAUAUGUAGUUAAAUGCCUGAAAAGGAAUGAAAAGCAGGUUGUGGCUUGUUUACUUUUCUAAUUCCUUCAGUUAUUGAUCUAUGGUUUCUCUGUAAUCUUGCCAUAAUUAUAGUAGUUGUCUUACCUUUUAAGUUUUGUUCAAGAAAAGCUAGCUAGUAGCUAUUAUUCAAUGCAUAAUCUUCGAUUCUACAUGCAUAUAAAAAAUGAUAUUGAUAAGGCACGUCGAGUCGUUUUCUAUCAUGUCCAUAUAUGUUUUACAAGUGAAUAUUUAUAUUAGUUAAUCAAAUAAGAGAAAUGGACUUAUAACAAUAUACUAAAACUUGAUAGAUGAUAAUGGGAUAGACAUGUAAUUUUUAUAAUAAUUUUUGCAUUUUGAUUAUUAAUUAGAGGAGGAAAAAUUGAUUUUCUAAACGUUCCAAAGAGGUGGUAAACUGGUAAUGCAUGAGUUGCGUCUAGUUUGAUUAGGAAUACCCAAGGUAGUAAACUGGCUUUGUGCUAUUUUUUUUUUUUUUUUUGAAAACAGUUCAAAAUUACCUUUCUCUACCGAUUUUCACCAUGGAUGUGGAAUACCCAUGUUUUGCUUAAUAAUGUGUAGGUUUAUGUUUUUGAGUUUUUGGUGCUUUUGCUUAGUGUAUUGAUUGUUCUUUUAUUACAUGUUCUUAACUAUUGGCAACUCUUUCUUGAGAAGUUUUGGCUGUGUUUUUCUUUAUUAUAGAUAUUAUUGUCGUUAUUAUUCUUAAAUAUGUUUUUAUUAAAUGAAUGAUGAGUUUGGAUUGGAGGCCUAGUAGUGGCCAUUUUGCCUUUGGAGAAUGUUGGUAUGUUAUAGAAGUGUUUAUUGAAGUGUCUUUGUAUUUGAGAUUUGAUUGUUUUGUGCGGAAAUGCUGCCGAAUUUUUUUCCUAUAAAUUCAAUAUGUAGAAUAGUACACUUACCUUUAUUAUAGUAGGUAGAAGAGGAAGCUGAUGAAGAGGAGGAGGAAGCAGAUGAUAUUGAAGACACUUAAUUCUUAGAGCAGUUUUACUAUUACAAAUUCAUAAAUGUAUAUCUAAUUAAUAUUAUUAAUGAAGAAUUUCAAUGGUAUUAACUUUCUUUACUCAUAUUUACCACAUGUUCCACAAUUCAUAUAAUUGUAUAAAUUCAUUUUAUCUAGGUUCUGAUAUCUGCAGUACAGAUGGCUAGAGGCAGACCGUUUGAUUCUGACGCGUCUGGCAGUGGUUCGUGUGGAGGUCAUGGCCCUGGACGCAGUGCCCGUGGAUGAGGAGGGUCGAUCCCUCGUCCUUCGUCAGGUACGUCUGGGGCUUCGUCAUCUGCUCAGCGACCAGUACUGCCGCCAUCACAU